rnacentral:rRNA from 1 species
AGGACGAACGCUGGCGGCGUGCUUAACACAUGCAAGUCGAGCGGUGAUCCUCCUUCGGGAGGUGAUCAGCGGCGAACGGGUGAGUAACACGUGGGCAACCUGCCCCUCACACUGGGAUAACCUCGGGAAACCGGGGCUAAUACCGGAUACGACCUCGAGCGGCAUCUCUUGAGGUGGAAAGCUCCGACGGUGAGGGAUGGGCCCGCGGCCUAUCAGCUUGCUGGUGGGGUAAUGGCCUACCAAGGCGACGACGGGUA